GUUUUCUCCAGUUGCUGCAACUCCUCUCUUUUAUCCAAUAGUCUCUUUUCUCCUCCGAGGUUGGCUGAAUGUUGUUGGUUCAGGUUGGCUGAAGUUUUUUGGUUCAGGUUGGCUGAAGUUUUUUGGUUCAGGUCUGUCAAGCAUUGGUUAGGUUCAAGAGGUUAAAUCCUUGGAUUGUUAGUUUCAGGCCACAUCUUCAUAUUUGAAAUUGGUUGGAUGAAAUGACUAUAAGCCUUUAAGAAGGUAUCCUUCUUAUACCAAUGCUCCACAAGAGGGUCAGGCUCCUGUUCUAUGUGGCACAAAGCAGAAAUAGCAUGUUGGCAUGAAAUGCCUCUCAGUUGUCAAGUUCUACAACUACAAACUCUAUCAGCCAAGUUAACUGUAUACUUGUACUCUCUUUCUCCAAUCUCAAACCCAACAUCAGCAUUCCAAAGCACCUUGCAUGUCCUAGACUUGUCCUUAUUCUCCUCUAAGAUAAGUCUAGCACCAUAGGUGCAAUAUCAGAUAUUCAGGUGUUGGCAAACUUAAUCAUUUUCAUAGUUCUUGUCAUUAUCUUUCUCUUAAUUUUCUCCAGCAUGAUUAUUAUAGAUUUGUGUCUACAUGAUAUGAUCCAUGAGUUAAAGGUCUCACACAUGUUAUUUUCAACUACAUCACAUUUGAAAUGCUCUUGAAAGAAUUCCCUAACCCAUGACACUUUUGGAUAAUGCAAUAAGUCAGCACAAAUAUCAUUACCAAGUUUGCUCAUUUUAUGAAGCUCAUCCUUGAACUUCACUUCGAAACUUGCCUUUGAACAUCUCCAAAAUUGUUUUCUCCUUUUCUCUCCCUUUCAGGUUUGAUUCCAAUUAGACCAAAUAUGUCUAGCACACCUUCUAACUUCAGCAUUUGGUAGCAGUUCAUCAACAGUUGCAUGAAAACCCUGCAAAGAAAAUAAAAUGCAAUUCAAUACUUAAUAGAUAAUCUAAUAGCUUUAGCAAAUGUAAUAGGUAAUUACCUUUUGCAUAUCUGCCAUCACAGUAAGACCUUGUCCAGUACCCAACUACAUGUCCUCUUUCAAGUAAUUGAUAAAGAAACUCCAACUAUGCGUAGUUUCCUUAUCUACAACUGCCUAGGCUAUAGGAAACAUCUAAUUGUUUCCAUUCUUGCCAACUGUUACUAGAAGUUCACCCUUGCAAGCACCCUUUAAGAAACAUCCAUCAAAUCCUAUUAUUCUUCUACAUCCUUCCUUCCACCCCCUUUUCAAUGCAUCCAAGCACACAUAGAAGUAUACAAACAAAUUCUUUUCUGGUGCAGUUUCUCUAUCCAUUAUUAAAAAAAUAAAACUAUCAAGAUUGGUCUAUUUUAUAACCUCAGCAUAAUCACAUAAUCUUGCAAAUUUCAUAUUCCAGUCACCCAUGGAUUCUCUAAGAAUCAUUAGCUUUGCCUUGUAACAGAUGGUCCUACCCACAUACAAUUCUAACUUCUCCCUGCACAAUUCUUGUAUUUCCCAAAUCUUUAUGGAUGAUUGUUUAGUUAUUUCAUCCUUGAAUUUGUUUGUUAGGAAUUUACUUGUACACAUUUUGUUCUUAUUUGAUGGAGAACACUUAUGUAUAGGAUGGUAGUUCUUGAUCAAAAAGUUAUCAUAAUCUCUAUCAAUUGCACCAUAACACAACCAUUUGCAUUUUUCUUUGAAUUUACAUUUAGCCCUCACUCUAUGAAUUUCAUUAAGCCUUAACUUAAUCUGAUAAUUAUUUCCUACUGCAUAAUUUAUCAAAGCCUUUCUAAAUUGUUUAGCAUUUUUAAAAAUCAUUUCAAGUUCAAAAAUAGUAACUUCACAUUCAACAUCAUACCUGACAUUUUUACUCUUCCUUCUUCCUGAUUGAUCAACACCCCUAACAACUUCUACAUCUACCACAUCUGUGCUAUUAUCACUAUCACAGUCUGAGUUAUCAAUAUACUCUUCAUCUCCUCCUAAUCUACCAACAUAUCUAUCCUUCUUAUUUCUUUCAAUAUCUUCAAA